rnacentral:rRNA from 1 species
GACGAACGCUGGCGGCGUGCUUAACACAUGCAAGUCGAACGGAAAGGCCCUGCUUUUGUGGGGUUCUCGAGUGGCGAACGGGUGAGUAACACGUGAGUAACCUGCCCUUGACUUUGGUAUAACUUCAGGAAACUGGGGCUAAUACCGGAUAGGAGCUCCUGCUGCAUUGUGGGGGUUGGAAAGUUUCGGCGGUUGGGGAUGGACUCGCGGCUUAUCAGCUUGUUGGUGGGGUAGUGGCUUACCAAGGCUUUGACGGGUAGCCGGCCUGAGAGGGUGACCGGCGACAUUGGGACUGAGAUACGGCCGAGACUCCUACGGGAGGAAGCAGUGGGGAAUAUUGCACAAUGGGCGGAAGCCUGAUGCAGCAACGCCGCGUGCGGGAUGACGGCCUUCGGGUUGUAAAACGCUUUCGCCUGUGACGAAGCGUGAGUGACGGUAAUGGGUAAAGAAGCACCGGCUAACUACGUG